rnacentral:rRNA from 1 species
GAUGAACGCUGGCGGCGUGCUUAACACAUGCAAGUCGAACGAUGAAGCCCAGCUUGCUGGGUGGAUUAGUGGCGAACGGGUGAGUAACACGUGAGUAACCUGCCCUUAACUCUGGGAUAAGCCUGGGAAAUUGGGUCUAAUACCGGAUAGGAGCGUCCACCGCAUGAUGGGUGUUGGAAAGAUUUAUCGGUUUUGGAUGGACUCGCGGCCUAUCAGCUUGUUGGUGAGGUAAUGGCUCACCAAGGCGACGACGGGUAGCCGGCCUGAGAGGGUGACCGGCCACACUGGGACUGAGACACGGCCCAGACUCCUACGGGAGGCAGCAGUGGGGAAUAUUGCACAAUGGGCGCAAGCCUGAUGCAGCGACGCCGCGUGAGGGAUGACGGCCUUCGGGUUGUAAACCUCUUUCAGUAGGGAAGAAGCGAAAGUGACGGUACCUGCAGAAGAAGCACCGGCUAACUACGUG